GUUAUAACCGGCGAUACCCGAAUGGGGAAACCCAGUGUGACUCGUCACACUAUCAUUAACUGAAUCCAUAGGUUAAUGAGGCGAACCGGGGGAACUGAAACAUCUAAGUACCCCGAGGAAAAGAAAUCAACCGAGAUUCCCCCAGUAGCGGCGAGCGAACGGGGAGGAGCCCAGAGCCUGAAUCAGCAUGUGUGUUAGUGGAAGCGUCUGGAAAGGCGCGCGAUACAGGGUGACAGCCCCGUACACAAAAGCGCAUGUGCUGUGAGCUCGAUGAGUAGGGCGGGACACGUGGUAUCCUGUCUGAAUAUGGGGGGACCAUCCUCCAAGGCUAAAUACUCCUGACUGACCGAUAGUGAACCAGUACCGUGAGGGAAAGGCGAAAAGAACCCCGGCGAGGGGAGUGAAAAAGAACCUGAAACCGUGUACGUACAAGCAGUGGGAGCCCCACCACCAAAGCAUUUGCUGUACCGCGUUGACGGAGCGAAGCGACGUCAAACCGAUAAAACAGCAGUGUAAAGUGAGCCGCAGGGCGCUUUGCGCGACAGCGCAAAGGCAGGCGGUUUCGCGUAGCGAAAGCGAAUGCUUUGGGGUGGGGUGACUGCGUACCUUUUGUAUAAUGGGUCAGCGACUUAUAUUCUGUAGCAAGGUUAACCGAAUAGGGGAGCCGGAGGGAAACCGAGUCUUAAUUGGGCGUUAAGUUGCAGGGUAUAGACCCGAAACCCGGUGAUCUAGCCAUGGGCAGGUUGAAGGUUGGGUAACACUAACUGGAGGACCGAACCGACUAAUGUUGAAAAAUUAGCGGAUGACCUGUGGCUGGGGGUGAAAGGCCAAUCAAACCGGGAGAUAGCUGGUUCUCCCCGAAAGCUAUUUAGGUAGCGCCUCGUGAAUUCAUCUCCGGGGGUAGAGCACUGUUUCGGCUAGGGGGCCAUCCCGGCUUACCAACCCGAUGCAAACUGCGAAUACCGGAGAAUGUUAUCACGGGAGACACACGGCGGGUGCUAACGUCCGUCGUGAAGAGGGAAACAACCCAGACCGCCAGCUAAGGUCCCAAAGUCAUGGUUAAGUGGGAAACGAUGUGGGAAGGCCCAGACAGCCAGGAUGUUGGCUUAGAAGCAGCCAUCAUUUAAAGAAAGCGUAAUAGCUCACUGGUCGAGUCGGCCUGCGCGGAAGAUGUAACGGGGCUAAACCAUGCACCGAAGCUGCGGCAGCGACACUGUGUGUUGUUGGGUAGGGGAGCGUUCUGUAAGCCUGUGAAGGUGUGUCGUGAGGCAUGCUGGAGGUAUCAGAAGUGCGAAUGCUGACAUAAGUAACGAUAAAGCGGGUGAAAAGCCCGCUCGCCGGAAGACCAAGGGUUCCUGUCCAACGUUAAUCGGGGCAGGGUGAGUCGACCCCUAAGGCGAGGCCGAAAGGCGUAGUCGAUGGGAAACGGGUUAAUAUUCCCGUACUUGGUGUUACUGCGAAGGGGGGACGGAGAAGGCUAUGUUGGCCGGG
rnacentral:rRNA from 1 species